CCCCCUUUACACUACUACCCCCCCCCAUUUAAAAGCGAAAGGAGGGUCGCCCCCGCACACCUUAGGGAGCCAGCUGCCUCCGCCCCCGGGAAGAGAAAUACCGUGCGAUUAACGGUAAUGGUGAACUCCUCCCGGCUUAGGGAGCCUUUCAAAGCGAUGGUAAUGAAGGAAGCAUUUCAUAGCGCAUAGGUUUCCAGGAAAAGUACAGCACCCGCUAUGGGUGUAGCCAAGGGAGGGGCAGCUGCCCCCACAAUCUAUAAAAAUCAACAUUUGUUGUUUAGUCGUGUCCGACUCUUUGUGACCCCAUGGACCAGAGCAAGCCAGGCACUCCUGUCUUCCACUGCCUCCCACAGCUUGGUCCAACUCAUGCUGGUAGCCUCGAGAACACUGUCCAACCAUCUUGUCCUGUCGUCCCCUUCUCCUUGUGCCCUCCAUCUUUCCCAACAUCAGGGUCUUUUCCAGGGACUCUUCUCUUCUCACGAGGUGGCCAAAGUAUUGGAGCCUCAGCUUCAGGAUCUGUCCUUCCAGUGAGCACUCAGGGCUGAUUUCCUUUAGGAUAGGUCUGAUCUUCUUGCAGUCCAUGGGACUCUCAAGAGUCUCCUCCAGCACCAUAAUUCAAAAGCGUCAAUUCUUUGGCGAUCAGCCGUCUAGCAAACUCAGGUUCUGCCCACUAACAAAAGGCCUACUCACCACGGUACCCGCUUUGGAAAGUCCAAUCCUAUUGUCAGGGCAAGAACCCCUGACUGCACUGCACUUAACAGCAGUAAUAUAAAAGUCUCGCGUCCCUGACCUGAUGAGAACCCGAUUCUAUUAAUUUUGUGCAUCGUGCUGCUCUUCAGCGAAGUUGCUUCUAAAUUUCAACUGCAGAGUGAUCUUUCUGCGGCAGUAGUGUUGCCCCAGGGCAACAGGCUCAUUUCCCCAUUCCCAAGCACCCCACUCUCUUCCCUUUUCGCUUGCCAAAACAUGUAGCAAUAAUGACAAUUUAUUUUGUCUUGAAUGUAGUUCAGAACAUGAAACAACAGGUUAUGUGGAUGGCAUCAGUGGUACAAAAGCAGCAGCAGAAAGGACAACACAGGAUAGGAGAGGGGAAGGGCACACCCCUCUGGAUGAUGACAGCAACCAUCACGAUACUGGAAUGUAACAGGCCAACUUGCAGCACUGAAAAGAGUCAUUGCAGAGGUCACUACCACAAGUGUGUAUGAGCUGCAGAAAGGAAAGAGAGUGCACACAUUUGUGUUUUUAACUGCCCUGGGGUCAUCUGAUGGAGGGUGAGCCAAAGCAGGUAUUUAAAAAUAAAUAAGACACAUGGCAUAAGACCAUAGCAUUCUGCUCUCACACAACUCACAGGAAACUUGAGGCUGAUCCACACCCUAUAUUUAAAGCACAUCUAACACACUUUAAAAACACAUGACUUCCCCAAAGAAUCCUGAUAACUGUAGGUUUUUUUUAAAGGUGCUGGGAAUUAUAGCUAUGGUCUCAGGGUUUUUUUGGAGGAAUGAUGUGUAUCGGAUGUGCUUUAAAUGUUUGAUGAGAACCUAUCUAAAGACUACCCAUUGGAAACAAGGUGGCAGCACAAAAUUAUUAUUAUUAAUAAUAAUUAAAUUUGUAUACUUCCCUUAAUCUGUAGAUCUCAGAGCUGUUCACAACAUUUGCAAGAUAAAAAAGACAAAAUAAUAAUAAAAAAAACAAUAAUAACUCCCCCCCCCCAUUUUAUUAUUUUUAUUUACUCAUCCAAAACCUAUUUUGGUAUAAUCCAGGAAUCAAUUCAGUUUGAGUAAGGCUGCAGAACAUGACUGGAGUGCCAGGACUAUUAGUAUUAUGUAUUAGAAAAAUGAUGAUUGGAAUAGACAUUGAAAGUGCACAGAACCAAGCAAAGAAUACCCAUACAAUAAACAAAGCAACAAACAAAGCCAAAAAGCAGAGUAACAGUACAGCAAUUAUCAGAUUUCCCAGAAGACUUUCAUGCCUCUGGAUAAAGACACCAGUGGGACUCCCAACAGCAGCUACAAACAACACCAUUUAAGUGCAGAAUCCAUUUUUGGAAAAGGAGAGCCAGGUCAGGUGUAUAAAAUCAGCAGUUCUAAUACUGGUGAUUUAGCACCCACAUACACCCCUGUAUACUAUACACCACACUAUACCUACCUUGGGAAUUUCAAAUGAUCAUGGACACUAUGUGUGUGUACAUGUGUACAUUAGUUGAAGUGUCAGCUAAAGGCUUUCAACAGACUAAGGGAUUGCAUCAUCAAAGCAGUAACCGCACACAGAAAAUGAAAGCAAAAACUCAGUGCUAGCUCCAGUAUGCAACAGGUCCCAGAUAAAUUCCCCAGGCAUAAGUCUUUAUUUCUUCAAAAGUUUGUAGCCUGGAUUUUAUUGGUCCUAUCAGUACAGCAUAAAUUAUAACAGAGAAAUCCACCACAUCCCUGGAUCUUAAAGCACCAGCAGACUACUACAGGGAGAGGUACCACUUCGUGUUUUUAGUUGCAAUAUAGCUAUAGCUUUAAAGGUAAUAUCAGCACCUUAGGCUUGUAAUUGAAUAUGCAGCCAAUGCAGUUGUUUUAAGGAUCAGUGAAA
rnacentral:lncRNA from 1 species